CGGCUAACAACGUGCCAGCAGCCGCGGUAAUACGGAGGAUGCAAGCGUUAUCCGGAAUUAUUGGGCGUAAAGGGUCCGCAGGUGGUUUAUCAAGUCUGUUGUCAAAGCGUGGAGCUUAACUCCAUAUCGGCAAUGGAAGCUGAGUAACUAGAGUACAGUAGGGGUUGCGGGAAUUCCCAGUGUAGCGGUGAAAUGCGUAGAUAUUGGGAAGAACACCAGCGGCGAAAGCGCGCAACUGGGCUGAGACUGACACUGAGGGACGAAAGCUAGGGGAGCGAAAGGGAUUAGAUAUCCCUGUAGUCCUAGCCGUAAACGAUGGACACUAGGUGUUGCGCGUAUCGACCCGUGCAGUGCCGUAGCUAACGCGUUA
rnacentral:rRNA from 1 species